rnacentral:tRNA from 1 species
GGGGGCGUAGCUCAGUUGGUUAGAGCGCCGGCCUGUCACGCCGGAGGUUGCGGGUUCGAGUCCCGUCGCUCCCG